rnacentral:rRNA from 1 species
GCUUGCACCCAUACUGAUCUUGAGAGCUAAGCAGGUCUCACUGUGAUUAGUACUUGGAUGGGAGACUGUUUUGGAAUGCAGGCAUGUGCAUGCC